ACAAAUUGCAAAGGUCACAUGAGACACAGCCAUCUUCUAACCGUAUAUAUACUGGGAACUAUUUUCAGAAGGCAAAGCACAGCUACUUCUGCUAAUUGGGCGGAGUGAUUUGCUUGCAUCACCUGAGAAGCUCCUUGGUGAGGAGCAGAGAGUUUGCCCAGAGUUCACUCAGAGGUAGAGUAGUAAUC